UACGGGGGGGGCAAGCGUUGUUCGGAAUUACUGGGCGUAAAGGGCGCGUAGGCGGCCCGCUAAGUCAGACGUGAAAUCCCUCGGCUCAACCGGGGAACUGCGUCUGAUACUGGCAGGCUUGAAUCCGGGAGAGGGAUGUGGAAUUCCAGGUGUAGCGGUGAAAUGCGUAGAUAUCUGGAGGAACACCGGUGGCGAAGGCGGCAGCCUGGACCGGUAUUGACGCUGAGGCGCGAAAGCCAGGGGAGCAAACGGG
rnacentral:rRNA from 1 species